CUGUUAUGGUGGUGUUGAUGGGGUGGUAAUGAUGGUGUUGGUGGUGGUGUUGGUGUUGUGUAGACUGCUCUAUAGUGAGGGUAUCAGGGAGUAAGCCUACAGGAAAACACACAGACUGGAUGGCUGCUGCAAAACCACAAGGCCAGGAGGGCACAGUCAGUCACAUCUGCAACAGUUUGGGAACACUGCCCUGCUGGGAUUACAACAAUACAUCAUGACUGGAUGGCUGCUGCAAAACCACAAGGUCAGGAGGACACAGUCAGUCACAUCUGCAACAGUUUGGGAACACUGCAUUGCUGGGAUUACAAC